UACGUAGGGUGCAAGCGUUAAUCGGAAUUACUGGGCGUAAAGCGUGCGCAGGCGGUGAUGUAAGACAGAUGUGAAAUCCCCGGGCUCAACCUGGGAACUGCAUUUGUGACUGCAUCGCUGGAGUACGGCAGAGGGGGAUGGAAUUCCGCGUGUAGCAGUGAAAUGCGUAGAUAUCAAGAGGAACACCAGUGGCGAAGGCGAGUCCCUGGACAACACCUGACACUGAGGCACGAAAGCUAGGGGAGCAAACAGG
rnacentral:rRNA from 1 species